UUGAUAACCCCCAUUACCAGAGGAUUAGGGGCAUGCUGAUGUUACCGUCUCCUUGGACACCAGUUCUCUGCGCGGUGGUUUAAUCUUGUGAUCCGUUUGUUGGGGCGGAAACGCUUCACUACCUAAAGUAUUUGGAACCCUGAUCUUUCUCCUUUCAGAUUCUGGGUGUGCUUUUCAGACCAUACAUACACGCAUCCAGUCUACUUUAUUCUUCUGUGUUUACCAGCCAUUACCCAACAGCCUCCGUCUGUGUUUCGUCUUCUGCCAGUUUUCCUGGAGAGAGGGGCAUUUCUCUGCUCCCCGGCUGCUGUGUUUAUCAUUUUGCCCAUCGAUUUUUCCUGCAUAGCCAUGGUUGCAGUGUGCAAGCGUUCUCAUAGGCUCCCGCUGCAUAACCCCUGGACUCUCUGGGAGAUGUGAGCAGAAGAGUGAAGGUCGGGGAGCUGUGUUGUGGAUAACAUCUGUUGGUAACAUUUCCCUCCCCUAAGCAAGC